rnacentral:rRNA from 1 species
UACGUAGGGGCCGAGCGUUGUCCGGAGUUACUGGGCGUAAAGGGCGCGCAGGCGGUUGGUCACAUCGGCGGUGAAAGCCCCCCCGCUCAACGGGGGAGGGUCCGUCGAGAUGGGCCGACUGGAGGCAGGGAGAGGGCGGUGGAAUUCCGGGUGUAGUGGUGAAAUUCGUAGAUAUCGGGAGGAACACCAGUGGCGAAGGCGGCGAUCUGGGAAGAUACUGACGCUGAGGUGCGAAAAGCGUGGGGGAGCAAACAGG